rnacentral:rRNA from 1 species
GAGUUUGAUCAUGGCUCAGGACGAACGCUGGCGGCGUGCCUAAUACAUGCAAGUAGAACGCUGAAGAGAGGAGCUUGCUCUUCUUGGAUGAGUUGCGAACGGGUGAGUAACGCGUAGGUAACCUGCCUUGUAGCGGGGGAUAACUAUUGGAAACGAUAGCUAAUACCGCAUAACAAUGGAUGACACAUGUCAUUUAUUUGAAAGGGGCAAUUGCUCCACUACAAGAUGGACCUGCGUUGUAUUAGCUAGUAGGUGAGGUAACGGCUCACCUAGGCGACGAUACAUAGCCGACCUGAGAGGGUGAUCGGCCACACUGGGACUGAGACACGGCCCAGACUCCUACGGGAGGCAGCAGUAGGGAAUCUUCGGCAAUGGGGGCAACCCUGACCGAGCAACGCCGCGUGAGUGAAGAAGGUUUUCGGAUCGUAAAGCUCUGUUGUAAGUCAAGAACGAGUGUGAGAGUGGAAAAUUCACACUGUGACGGUAGCUUACCAGAAAGGGACGGCUAACUACGUGCCAGCAGCCGCGGUAAUACGUAGGUCCCGAGCGUUGUCCGGAUUUAUUGGGCGUAAAGCGAGCGCAGGCGGUUUGAUAAGUCUGAAGUUAAAGGCUGUGGCUCAACCAUAGUUCGCUUUGGAAACUGUCAAACUUGAGUGCAGAAGGGGAGAGUGGAAUUCCAUGUGUAGCGGUGAAAUGCGUAGAUAUAUGGAGGAACACCGGUGGCGAAAGCGGCUCUCUGGUCUGUAACUGACGCUGAGGCUCGAAAGCGUGGGGAGCGAACAGGAUUAGAUACCCUGGUAGUCCACGCCGUAAACGAUGAGUGCUAGGUGUUGGAUCCUUUCCGGGAUUCAGUGCCGCAGCUAACGCAUUAAGCACUCCGCCUGGGGAGUACGACCGCAAGGUUGAAACUCAAAGGAAUUGACGGGGGCCCGCACAAGCGGUGGAGCAUGUGGUUUAAUUCGAAGCAACGCGAAGAACCUUACCAGGUCUUGACAUCCCGAUGCUAUUUCUAGAGAUAGAAAGUUACUUCGGUACAUCGGUGACAGGUGGUGCAUGGUUGUCGUCAGCUCGUGUCGUGAGAUGUUGGGUUAAGUCCCGCAACGAGCGCAACCCCUAUUGUUAGUUGCCAUCAUUCAGUUGGGCACUCUAGCGAGACUGCCGGUAAUAAACCGGAGGAAGGUGGGGAUGACGUCAAAUCAUCAUGCCCCUUAUGACCUGGGCUACACACGUGCUACAAUGGUUGGUACAACGAGUUGCGAGUCGGUGACGGCAAGCUAAUCUCUUAAAGCCAAUCUCAGUUCGGAUUGUAGGCUGCAACUCGCCUACAUGAAGUCGGAAUCGCUAGUAAUCGCGGAUCAGCACGCCGCGGUGAAUACGUUCCCGGGCCUUGCACACACCGCCCGUC